AACAGUGUGAGGUACAAAAACAGCAAAAACGCAUGUCAGUAGCCACUGUGGAGUUAAUAACAGCGUAGCGCCUGGAGUACAAAGUCAACGAGGCGAAGUGAAGCGGAAAGCUUAGACUCCGCGCAAUCAGGCAUUGCACAGAUUACAGUGUUUUCCUGCGCACACGCACAUCUCUUAAAACAGGAUCGGAUUGCUGAGCAGAUCGUGGCAGCGAAGGCGCAGGCUGGUCGUCAAUCCAGGAAUGUUCCUCCAACCCAGCGAGCCCACGACGGGGCAGUACUGCUAGACUAGAAAAAGGGAGGGGUUGUGCCCUGA